AGCGGAGAAUCUUCAAGAGAACAAAAAAGCCAUAAAAGGAAACACAUUUGUCAUGGUUCAAUGUGACGGAAGCAAUAAUGAAGUGAGCACCACGAAACUUGAUUCUGAAGGCGGAAGUUAUCCUACAUGGAACGAGAAGGUAGUGAUCGACGUGCCAUUACAUGCAAGGUUCGUAACAAUAGAGGUGAAGUACAAAACAAGAGGAAGUAGUAAUAGUGUUGGAAUAGCUAGAGUACCUGUUUCCGAUUUUGUUGGAGGGUAUGUACAUGAAAAUCAAUUGCAAUUUUUAAGUUAUAGGUUGUGGGAUAAUAGAGUUAUGAGAAAUGGGGUUGUAAAUAUUUCAGUGAAGGUAAAAAUGUCCCAACAAAAUUCUUGCUCGAGUUCGAUGUCAUCGAC
rnacentral:lncRNA from 1 species